CAUUUCAUUAAAUGCUGCAAAACAAAUGCCGCCUAAGCCAAAAUUUCACAUCGCGCCACUGCCAAUCCUUUUAUGCCCACAAUUAAUUUCACAAUUAAUUUGAAAAUUUCACCAGAAAAAUACAAUUCAUUUGAAACUAAGCCCCAUAUUACAAUUCAAUUAUAUUUCAACUUAGGGUUUCACUUAUUUUACUUUUUUUGUGUCGGCACUUUCUCUCAAUCACUUCCCUCUAAAAAAUUCAAUUGUUGCGUUGAUGCGUUUCUCCUUGGUGGUGGCUGCUCGGUGGUUGUUUCUCGGCGGUUCCUUCUCGGGUUGGUGCUCUUGGCUGCUUCUCUUUUUGCUCGGUGGUUGCUGGGGCUGCGACGUUGCUUCUCGGUGGUUACCGGUCGAUGGUUUCUACUCGGCGGUUUCGAUCUUCUCUUGGCAUAGCUUCUCUGCGACAGUAGAAGAAUGUAUGUAGCUGGCCCCACUGUGGACUAUAAUCUGAUUGUUAGAAAAAUAUGUGUAAUCAUCCCUCAAUUAUGGUGGAAUAAACUACAGGAUGUCCUACCCCCUGAAAUGAGUGAACUGAAAAACUUGACACACCUAUAUCUGAGCUUCAGUAAUUUCAAAGGGGGAAAUCUCUAGCAAAUCUUCCUGCUCUGCGAUAUUUAUACUUACAUAAAAACCGUUUCACUGGGCGCAUUCCUGCACAAUUGGGCACCCUGCAGAAUCUUCGACAAUUGUAAGAUUUUAAAUCCAACUGUUAGUUUUUGUGUUCUCAACUGGUCUUACAGAUGUUUCGCGAUCAAAAAUGAUAUUAUUAAUGUCAACAUUUCAAAUGAUAUUAUUCAUAUCAUUUUUAGAGAUGUUGGUAAAAAUCAUCUAGUGGGUAUAAAUAGGAAACUCAUACGCAUUGAAGGGUGCUUUCCUGCCCUUCAUAACAUGUAAGACUCUAUAGCAGUUGCCUGCAUCAUUUGUUUGUUUUACUAACUUCUUUGACUGCCAUCUAGCUUUCUGAAACUCUGUAUAAAUAUUUGGCAGGAGGAGUUCCUGCUCAGCUAGCCAACUUUUUAAAUUGGUCAUAUAAGUUUAUCUUAUGAAAGGAGUGUCUGACCCAAAAUUCUAAGACUGUAGAUUAUAAGUUCCUCUUUAAUAUUAUUGCCUUGCUUUAAUUUUUUUUUGUUCAAAUAUAAUUUAAGCCCAUUUUUUUUAAUGAGAAAUGUUGACGAGGUUAAUUCAA